rnacentral:rRNA from 1 species
UGGGGAAUAUUGGACAAUGGGCGAAAGCCUGAUCCAGCCAUGCCGCGUGUGUGAAGAAGGUCUUCGGAUUGUAAAGCACUUUAAGUUGGGAGGAAGGGCAUUAACCUAAUACGUUAGUGUUUUGACGUUACCGACAGAAUAAGCACCGGCUAACUCUGUGCCAGCAGCCGCGGUAAUACAGAGGGUGCAAGCGUUGAUCGGAAUUACUGGGCGUAAAGCGCGCGUAGGUGGUUUGUUAAGUUGGAUGUGAAAUCCCCGGGCUCAACCUGGGAACUGCAUUCAAAACUGACUGACUAGAGUAUGGUAGAGGGUGGUGGAAUUUCCUGUGUAGCGGUGAAAUGCGUAGAUAUAGGAAGGAACACCAUUGGCGAAGGCGACCACCUGGACUAAUACUGACACUGAGGUGCGAAAGCGUGGGGAGCAAACA